rnacentral:rRNA from 1 species
AGAAUCAACGCUGGCGGCGUGCCUAACACAUGCAAGUCGAACGAGAAAGUGGAGCAAUCCAUGAGUAAAGUGGCGACCGGGUGAGUAACACGUGACCAAUCUACCCUUGAGUGGGGGAUAACCUCGGGAAACCGGGGCUAAUACCGCAUAAUAUCCUUGGAACGGAAGUACUGGGGAUCAAAGGAGCAAUUCGCUUAAGGAGGAGGUCGCGGCUGAUUAGCUAGUUGGCGGGGUAAUGGCCCACCAAGGCAAAGAUCGGUA